rfam:Aneurinibacillus migulanus strain DSM 2895 super7, whole genome shotgun sequence.
CUUCGAUAAUAGCAAACCUCUCGAAAGAUAGGGACGCAAAGCCACGGGCCUAAUGUGUUAGUAUACGCAAUGGUGGCCGGGUUGCCGAA